AUCGCUUCUUGGCCUUUUGGCCAAGAUCAAGUGUAGAAUGGAUAGACCAGUGGCCUGACUUGUCAGCUUCCUAUUUCUUUGGUUGUUAUCAUGAGGACUAGAAACAUUUUUAAGGGAAAAGUUAUAGUUCAGUGGUGGAGCAUGCUUUGCAUGGUACCCAUUUGAAAUCUGAAUGAACACCAAUGCCCU